ACUAGUGCGCAAACUCGCUUUCACGUGUUUCCACAUGGCUUAUGGUGUUUACACAUGAUCAUUCGAAGUUUUUAAGUCGAGUACGAAACACAUAGUUUGCAGCGGUCACAAAAAUUUGUAAAAUGGUUUUGGAUUUAUCCUACGUGCCAUGUCCACCGCGACCAGAUGACGAAACACGCAAGCAGAUAAUCCAGGGGGUAAAAACAAUGUUUGAAAUAACCCGCCAUCCGUCAUUACAAGUGACCCACGUGACACCCCAGCGACGAAAGUCGUCAUCGUCAUUUUCAUUUAGAAAUAAUUGCUUCUGGUGGGUAACACUCCGACCGCUUGAUGAAAUCACACAAGGAAUGUCGUUAGAGGAGCUGAUAAAACUGUUCAAAACGCAUAAACCAAUAGGCUGUGUUUUUAAACAUGUUUGUGGAACGAACGAAAACGGAAAGUGGAAGGUAUGCUAUGGAAUCCCAAACUGUAGAUGUCUUCCAGAGGUGGCUAUACAAAAUGGAAACAACGAAUUUGCCGAAAAUAAUACGCUUUCGUUGCCAUAAUUGACUUACAUUGUAUGAAUAUGUGAUUGUCGAACCGUUGAUUAGUGUAAUUAAUAAAUUUUAUACUUUCUUAAA